CUUCCCAUUUGACUACCACAUUUUCUCCAAUUAAUAGAUUUUAGUGGCUAUGCUUGUGGGAUAGAUUAAAAUUGCCAUGAUCUGAAGAGGGAGGGGGUUUUGGUACCCUCCUUCUAUAUGAAAUGGCUGAACAGAAAAAA
ensembl:snoRNA